rnacentral:sRNA from 1 species
GGGUUGGGGGAACACUAAAAGAAGGCCAUACUUGCAGGGAUGGGUUGGAACAUCCGCCUUGGAAGUUUAAGGGAAAAAAUUGAAGUACAUCAACUCUUGCUAAUCUGUGUCACAUGACCAUCUGGAUCCCAGGAAUCCUUACCUUGAACAACAAUCGGGAGCUAAGGAAGGAGAGGUAAGCGAAGUACUUAUUCUGGAGGCAGGAUCCAAGGGAGCCAGCCAGCCGAGUCACCAGGCUCAUACCCGUGGAUCCUUCUAUUACAGAUACGUACACACUUGUCAUCCCAUCACGCAGGAAGUGGAGGCAGGAGGAUUACUACAACUUUAAGGCCAGCCGGUAUUCAUCAUGAAUUUCAGGCCAGCCAGUCUUACAUGCUAGACUCGGUCUCAAAAGCAAACAAACAAAAAAACAAAACAAAAGGAGAAACAGUAUUUUCAUACAUUAUUUUAAAAAUUAAAACGAACGUAAAACAACCCAAUUUUAAGUAAAUGUCAGCGCUCUUCAGAGCUAUUCUUAAGACCAAGGCAAAAGAAAACUAUAUGGCCUGGUCUUUUACAUCAGUCUUUGCAAAAUCUGUGAGUGUGUGUGUGUG